CCGCACCACGGCGAGAGACGGGUUUUUCCUGUGUACACUCUCAGGGUUCACAGAAUGAUCAGAUAUCCUGCACCAUCCUCCAGCUCUUAGAAAUGAAGGUUGUGAAUACACCUGGAAGAAGUCAAAAGCGACCACACUUCUCCCAGCUCCGCAUGACAAUCGCUGGUUAAAGAGAUGGUUAGAUGGCUCUUCAGAUAAAGGGACAGCUUCAGAGAUAAUGUCACAGGGCCUCCAAGAGAAAUGCAAAGGAUGAAUGGUCCCACUGAAGGACUUGAAAAAUACAGAUGCUUUCCAGCUUUAUUUACAAUUUUAUAAUUAAAAGAUGAACGGAGCACUUAAGAACACAAGGAGUGAACUGGUCAGCUCCGGUCAGCUCCAGCACGCUCUGUGCUCCCUGACCUUGGAGCCGAUGGCUGCACUGUGGACGCAAGCUCCGUGGCUGCCUCUGAAACCGUCACGUUUCUGAAGAGCGCCAUGAUCUCUGUCCAGUGCCAUGACAAUCUGCAUUUCCUGAAUCUUUGCAGAGAAAGCGUGCAGAUUUCUAGUCAGAUCCAAAUCUCACAGUCAGGGAAAGGAAAACCAUUUCCUUACUGCCACCAUCCAAAGACAAAGCGAUGAAAAGCCAAGCCCACCGCCUCAGUACACUCAGCCUGAAAGUGUGGAUGGCCAGACCUCAGAUCGCAGAGAUACGGAUUCUUCUUGUCAGCAUUUCCAGAGCCGAGAGCUGAGUCAGGACUGAAGGAUAACAAUUGAGUCAGAGGAGCCAUGAUACUCAGAGCCCGGGCUGCAGUUCAUCUCCUGUGCGGUGGACGGUAAGGUUCUGGAGCUGGAAUCUUACCUUAGACCUUAGUGUCUAUUUGGAAGUGUUGGAACCCCGAUACUUUAUAAUCACCUCAAACCCACUGGGCAAGGAUUCAGGGACCCUCCCAGGAGGCCCGGGACACUCACUGUUCAUUAUUGCCUGAGAUUAAAAAUGUAUGCCACCACACCUGUCAGAAAUACUACUUUUCAGAGACCGAAAGUUCAACCAAAUCUUGAAGUUGUCACUUUUUCUAAUUAAACAAGUCCAAAUAAAAAUUUGAGCAUCGUGA